GGCCCCGUGGCGAGAUCCUGACGCUGAAGUCGAAAGCUAGGUUAGCGAACGGGAUUAGCAACCCCGCGUAGGCCGAGCCGUAGGCGAUGGAUACAAGCAUAAGCGCGGCCCAAAAUCCUUAUGCGCCGGAGAGAACGCGCUAAGUAUAGCGCAUGCGGACCACGGUCGCAAGGGAUCAAACGCAAAGGAAUAGGACGGGGGCCCGCACAAGCAGCGGAGCUGUGUAGGCCCAGUCGAAGCGAGCGCAAAGAACGGUUACCAGGGCUUGACAAGUAGGUAGUAAUGCAGCGAAAGCGGCACGAUCAGUCGGGAAGCGUACACAGGUACAGUUUGGCCGUCGUCAGAUUAUGCCAUGAGCUGUUAGGUUAAGUCCCAGUAACGAGCGCAACCCGUGCCGUUAGUUACAAGUGUCUGACUGAGGUACUGCCCGGCACAAUCUCGGGAGGAAGUUGGGGAUGACUUCAAGUCAGCAUGGCCUUUAUGUCCUGGGUUACACACACGAUACAAUGUCCGGUACAAUGGCUUGCCAAGCCGCGAGUAGGAGCCUAAUACUUUGAAGCCGGUCUCAGUUCGGAUUGUAGUCUGCUACCUGCACUGCAUGAAGAUUGGAGUUGCGUAGUAACCGCAGGUCAGCCACACUGCGGUGAAUAUGUUCCCGGGCCUUGUACACACCGCCCGUCACGUCAUGGAAGCUGGUAACACCUGAAGCCGGUGAGCUAUCCCGAUCGGACGCACAUGUCGUAGCUAGGGCCGG
rnacentral:rRNA from 1 species